UACGGAGGGUGCGAGCGUUAAUCGGAAUUACUGGGCGUAAAGCGCUCGCAGGCGGUUUGUUAAGUCAGACGUGAAAUCCCCGGGCUCAACCUGGGAACUGCAUCUGAUACUGGCAGGCUUGAGUAUUGUAGAGGGGGGUAGAAUUCCAGGUGUAGCGGUGAAAUGCGUAGAGAUCUGGAGGAAUACCGGUGGCGAAGGCGGCCCCCUGGACGAAUACUGACGCUGAGGUGCGAAAGCGUGGGGAGCAAACAGG
rnacentral:rRNA from 1 species